rnacentral:rRNA from 1 species
CUACGGGGGGCAGCAGUGAGGAAUAUUGCACAAUGGGGGGAACCCUGAUGCAGCAACGCCGCGUGGAGGAUGACGCAUUUCGGUGUGUAAACUCCUUUUAUAUGUCAAGAAAAUGACGGUAGCAUAUGAAUAAGCACCGGCUAACUCCGUGCCAGCAGCCGCGGUAAUACGAGGGUGCGAGCGUUACUCGGAAUCACUGGGCGUAAAGGACGCGUAGGCGGGCUUGUAAGUCAGGUGUGAAAUCCUACAGCUUAACUGUAGAACUGCACUUGAAACUACGAGCCUAGAGUAUGGGAGGGGGAGAUGGAAUUAGUGGUGUAGGGGUAAAAUCCGUAGAUAUCACUAGGAAUACCUAAAGCGAAGGCGAUCUCCUGGAACAUAACUGACGCUAAGGCGUGAAAGCGUGGGGAGCAAACAGGAUUAGAUACCCUCGUAGUC